AAUUAAAGAGAUAAAAACACAGUUUCUGUUGGUAGUCAGAACCUAUAAUUAAAUAUAGCAGUAACCUGCCCUCCUGGGGUUGUCCGUUCUCUUAAGAUUAGUU
rnacentral:ncRNA from 1 species